CCUACGGGUGACAGCAGUUGGGAAUAUUUGGCAAUGGGCGCAAGCCUGACCCAGCAACGCCGCGUGAAGGAAGAAGGCUUUCGGGUUGUAAACUUCUUUUCUGAGGGACGAAGAAAGUGACGGUACCUCAGGAAUAAGCCACGGCUAACUACGUGCCAGCAGCCGCGGUAAUCCGUAGGUGGCAAGCGUUAUCCGGAUUUAUUGGGUGUAAAGGGCGUGUAGGCGGGAAAGCAAGUCAGAUGUGAAAACUCAGGGCUCAACCCUGAGCCUGCAUUUGAAACUGUUUUUCUUGAGUGCUGGAGAGGCAAUCGGAAUUCCGUGUGUAGCGGUGAAAUGCGUAGAUAUACGGAGGAACACCAGUGGCGAAGGCGGAUUACUGGACUGCAACUGACGUUGAGGCUCGAAAGCGUGGGGAGCAAACAGGAUUAGAUACCCGGGUAGUC
rnacentral:rRNA from 1 species